UAGUUAUCCUUAUUGUAAUAAUACUUUUUCUUUAAAAUACGUAUAAUGCAGCGAAAAAAAUCCACAUAUAUUUCACUUAUAAACGUUAAAAUUAUAAAAUUGAUUCAAAUGUGCGCAUUUAUAAAUAAAUAUAACGUAAACGGGGGCACGGAUUAUCCAUUCUUCCUCCUAGACGUGGGCCACGUGGCUAAUCAAGAUUUUAAAAUAAUAAUAAUAAAUUUGAAAUCAUGUCUCUCGGUAUUGGUUUGAUUUUAAAAUUAAAUUUAUUAAAAAUAAUUAAACACUCACCCAG
rnacentral:lncRNA from 1 species